UCUUUCUUCUUCGCGUAAAAUUUACUUCUUUUACUCCCCCAUUUUUCUCUGUGUGUUUCCUGUUUUUUUAUUUGGUCAGCGCAGGCGCAUAUUUGUGUUUAACUUUGGACUAGUGCCUGUUUUGGUUUGCGCUGCUAGUGUAUGGGAUUAGAUUUAGGGUUUGAGGUAUGUUGGCGAUUGCUAGCUCAUUAUUGGUUCUGAGUCUCCAAAAGAAAACCUUUUGGAGGUUUGACAUAAUCUACAAGUGGGCACUAGACUUUGAGGAUUCCUUGAGAACUUAUGCACAUACUAGGAUGCUAUCAAAAAAUCCCCGCCUAGGCUGUCAGCGGCAGCCCACUGCCCCACCUUUUGCCAAGGUGGUGACGUUAGGCAGUGAGGCAUUAAUCGGCCGCCUAGGCGGCUGGAAUGCCGUUGGGCACCGCCUCCUUAGUGGUGCUAGAUUUUCUUUGUCUCAAAAUACUGGCAGAAUCGAUUCGACAAGGUUUUCGCGACAAAUAGAACCUUGCCGAAUCGGCUGAUUGAUUCAACGUGUUGAUCGAUUCAACACGGUUUUGUUUGUCACAAAACGUUGCCGGAUCGAUUAGCUGAUCGAUUCGGCCAGUUUUUCACGACAAACUUCUUCCCCUUGAGUUGAUCAGCUGAUCGAUUCAACAAAAGAAAAAAAGCAGAAAACGUAGAUUUAUAAAUUAUAGGGUUCUAUUUUAAACUUUUAAUUGGGAUUGUCAGCCGUCCUAAACCCUAACCCUCAUCGUCUUCUCCCUCCCCUUCUUCUUCUUCUUCAUUCCAUUUUCCUCUCCGACUUGCCCUAGUUGCUGCCUUUACUCCCACCCCUUCUUCUGAAAAAUCAACGAGUUGCAAGGAGCUUGCUGCCUAUCCUCUUCCUCCUUGAGUCUUCAUCAAGGAGCUAGUUGUCGCCAAGGCUGCCAAGUGCUAGCAACGAAAGGAAAGCAGCUCUUGUUCCUUCAUUUCCAACCGCAACUGUAGAUAACCUUUUCUCCUGCUAGGUUAGUAAAAUUGUAUCUUCGAUAAAUAAUAACCAUUGCUUGUAUGUUCUUCAUUUCCAGCCGUUGGUUAAUACUUAAUAAAAUUCAAUUGUACAUUAUUAUUUAAAUCUUGUAUGUUAUUGCUUGCCUUGAAUUGAGAAUUGUCAUCUAUGAGUUUUUUGAAUGCUUGAUAAUCAUUGCUUGUAUGUUCUUUAUCAAUGAUUUUUUAAAUGCUUGACAUGUAGUAAAACAUCGGGUACUAUAUCUUCUCAAGCAUGUAAUUCAAUGUCGUCGAUUGCUACCCCUUUGAAGCGUAAUUCAAAUGAUAUUGGAUGGGAAUUUGCGGAGAUGGUGGAUUCUACAAAUUUGGAUAAGUUGAAAUGUAAGUUGUGUCAUAAAAUUACUAGCGGUGGAAUUUAUAGGCUCAAAUAACAUGUUGGCAAUAUCAAGGGAAAUGUUGCCCUGUGUAAGAAAUUCUCGAAUGAGGAUAAAUUAAAGUGUAAGAAUGCAAUUGAAGAAGCAAAAACAAAAAAAAACAACAAAAGAAUAUCAAUGAAAUGGAGGUGAGAGAAGAAGUUGUUCUUGAAAAAUAUGAGGAAAACGAAGGGACUCUAGGGACAAGAAGGAACCCGCUUACUUGGCCCUAUGGACAUAUUUGCAUCUGUUUUUGAUUCCGAAUCUUCAUUGAGUAGAAGACAAUAACAACAAAAUAUUAUUGAUGCACUUUGGAAGCAAACAACACACAGUGUGCACCAAUAUUUAGCUCGAUGGGUGUACGAGUCCGAUAUUCCUUUUCAUGCCAUUGACAAUGAUAGCUUCAAGAGGCUUGUGGAAGCGAUUGGUCAAUUUAGUCCGGGUUAUUGUCCUCCUACUCAAUAUUUAUUAAGGGAGCCCUUGUUGAUGGAAGAGGUAGAUAGAACUCAAAGUCUAUUCAGAAGCAAGAAGAAGAAUGGGCUUUGAAUGGUUGCUCAAUUUUGACCGAUGCUUGGACCGAUCGAAAAAGAAGAAGUAUCAUGAAUUUGUAUGUCAAUUGUAAAGAAGGCACAACUUUCCUUUCUUCUAGGAGCAUCAAAUGAAGUACACACUGGGAAUUAUAUAUUUGAAUAUGUGGACAAGUGCAUUAAAGAAGUUGGGCCCCAAAGUGUAGUUCAAGUGGUAACGGACAAUGCUUAGAAUAAUAUGGCGGCAAAAGAUUUGUUGAAGGAGAAGAGACCACAUAUAUUUUAGACUUCUUGUGCAACUCACACUGUGAAUCUUAUACUUCAAGGAAUUGGGAACCAACCAAAAUUCAAAGGGGUGAUUGAGAAGACAAAGAACUUGACAAUUUUUAUUUAUGAACAUCACAAGACAUUGUCAAUAAUGAGAAAGUUUACCAAAUAAAAGGGACAUAGUGAGGCCGGGAGUUACACGAUUUGCAACCGUUUUUCUAGCUUUGCAAAGUUUGAUGGAGAAGAAAAGUGAAUUAAGAUCUAUGGUUGCUAGUGAAGAAUGAAAUGCAUGCAAACAUUCAAAAAGUGUAAAAAGGAAGGCAACACAUAAUAUCGCUAUGAGUGUCUCUUUUUGGAAUGAAGUUUUUGCUUGAAGGUGUUUGCCCCUUUAGUUAAGUCGCUUCGUCUUGUUGAUGGGGAUAAGAAGCCAUCUAUGGGUUUUGUAUAUGGAGAAUUACUUAGAGCGAGAGAGAAGAUUAAAGCGACAUUCAACAAUCAAGAGCUUCACUAUUCGUCCGAUUAUUGAUAUUAUUGAUGAGAAAAGUCGUAAUUGGCUUGAUAGUCGCUACAUUUGGCGGCCUACCUCUUGAAUUCUUAUUACUCCUUCAAUGAUCAGAGCAUAGGAAGUGAAGAAGUGGUCACGAAUGACUUAUUCACCUGUGUUGAAGCAUUCUUUGCUAGUGAUAUUGAUAGCCAAUGUUAGGUAGUAAAUGUAGAGUUGUUGAAGUAUAUCAACAAAGCGGGGGGAUUUAGAAGAUCAUUGACUAUAAUUGGAUGCACAAGAAAUGAUGAGAAAUACGAUCCGAGUAAGAGCUAAGUACUUAUUUUAUUUUGUUAUUUUUAUUGCUUGCUUGUUGUUUUUUGAUUUUGCUUAUUGUUAUUAUUUGAUUUGUUUUUAUUUAGUUGGAUGGUGGCAUCUUUUUGGAUAUGGUGUACCUAAAUUACAAAAGAUGGCUAAAAGAAUCCUUUUUCUAACUACAAGUUUUUCCGAUUGUGAGAGAAAUUAGAGUACUUUUGAGGGGAUCCAUACAAAGAAAAGAAAUAGACUAGAUACUGGAAGGUUAAACAAUUUAGUCUAUGUUCAAUUCAAUGUCAAGAUCAUAAACAAAAAGAGAAGACAAGAAGAAAAAGGAGUAGAUGUACUAUUUGCUAGUGAAGCAACUAUAGCACAAGGAUGGAUUGUUGAUGGUGGAGAUGAAGAUGUUGAGACAAAUAUUAAAGAUGUCAGAUAACUUCAUGAAGAAGAAUUUGUAUCGAAUGAAGAAGAGGAAGAUGACAUGGAUUUUGAAUUUGAAUCCGAUACAGAGCAAGUGUUGGAGAAAUAUGGAGAUGAACUAGAAGAAAAAUUAGGGAUAUAGGAAAUUAUAUGAGUUAUUUUGUAACUUGUAAGAAAACUUUUGCUAUUUUGUCAGUUUCAGACUUUCAGUUUGUAGUUUGUAUUUUACUCUUUUAGACUAGUUUGUGUACUUUUGCUAUUUCGGUAUUUCUAUUUCCAUUUAUCUAUUGGGAUCAAAUUAUGUAUUUCAUUAUUAAUAUUUCGGAAUUUCUAUUUUGUAUGCUAUGCCUUGUCAGUUUCAGGAUUCUGCGACAAACAAAAUCUUGCCGAAUCGAUUAAUUGAUUGAUUCGGCGUGAUCUGAUCAAUUUGGAAGGAUUCUGUGACAAACAGAAUCUUGCCGCUAAUCGAUUCAACACGGUUAUGUUUAUCGGGAAAAUCCUACCGGAUUGACCAGCAGGGUUUUCCGAGAAAAAAAAUUCUGCCUAUGUAGACACUUAGGCGCUAGGCGGCAGGCAACCCACCUACCGCCUAGCUUCUUUUUUAACAUUGGAUGCAUAGCAUGAGCUUUAUUAUUUUUUCCUUUGUUUUUUUCUUCUUUCUUAAUAAACAACAAAUGGUAUUUUGUUGCUAGGAUACCCAAAGCUAGAUGUAGUUGGUGAACAAAUUUCUUAAGAGAUAUACUCAUCUAAGAUAAUUUUGGUAUCUCCAAUCUCCUGCUGCUGACCUCAGAGGGUUUAUAUGGUUUCUGAAGAUGAAGUCACUGGGGUUAUGUUGCACUACCUUCUUGGUCAAACGAAUUAGAGAGUUGUUGAAUGGAUGAAUACGAAAAUUUUGGAAAACAAUUACAUUACAUCAAGCAUUUGGUUUCAUAAUUCUCUUUUGAUUUAGUGAAUUCUCUAAGAGGCAUAAUGUAGUUCUGUAAAAAAUAGUUAUUAGCUUCUGUCAGUUUGAUAGAUGCUAUGUAAGAAUCCCACAAAUCAAUAGUAUCUAUUCAUGUUUGUGAUUUCACUGCUUGGAUUCCAUCUUGUUUUAUGAAAAAUCCACAAAUCAAUAGUAUCUAUGCAUGUUUGUGAUGUCAUUGUUGUGGAUUCCAUCUUUUUUUAUUUAACUAUGUAGUCGCUUUCUAUUUUGCUUUUAGAUGAUGUCAAAUGUGAUUGCGUGUUAGAUUUUUCAGAAUAUGAUCUUGUUUUAAAAUUCUUUAUUGAACACUUGAUUAGUUUUAUGGGUUAUAUGGCACUCGUUGCGGGCAGGAAUCCUUUGGUCCUGGACUAGUCCUGACCUCCGCCCAUUCAUUGGUGGAGUGGACUGUAUCCCACCUGUUAAACAGGCGACGUCUAACUCACCCCACCAAUGAAUUUGUAGGGCCUCCCCUGGUUGAGCAGAUCCUGGACCAGAGGAUCUGGCCUCCACUGGUUGCUAUGUUUAGAAAACCCUUUUUUUACAAUUAUUUUAUUAUUUAGCAUGUUUUCGUUUUGCUAAUUACAAAUCAAUGAAUGUAUUUUUUCUCAAAUCUCAAAUUAGUUAUUAACCAUUGCAUUAUGUUGGUAAAUGUCUAAUCAAAUACUAUUUCUGAGUUUUCAGUACAUAUGUCUCAUUUGAACUGCCCCAUGCAUUUAAAAAUUAGGUAUAAUUUCCAAAUCGAGUGGUCUUUCUCUUCUUAUAUCUCUUGUUUUAUUUUAUUGUUUCCUCAGAUUGACCCUGUUCUGUAACAUAUCAUUUAUUUAGGCCAAAUAUAAGCUUCCUAAUUCCCGCUACAAUUUGUAUUCACCUGCGUCCAUUCCUGCAGGCUUUGUGAUGUAGCACCGAACUCAACUCAGUGGGUGUAAAAUUAUUAUUAACUGAACUCAACUCAGUGGGUGUAAAAUUAUUAUUAACUGAAAGGUGAUUUGAUACAAAGGAUCCUAACCACUUUUAUACACCGGCCACUUUGAUAGACCUGUGAUGAGAUCGGUUGUACUUAAAAGUUAAAAAUACAACUUGUUUGCUUCC